GACGAACGCUGGCGGCGUGCCUAAUACAUGCAAGUUGAGCGCUGAAGGUUGGUACUUGUACCAACUGGAUGAGCAGCGAACGGGUGAGUAACGCGUGGGGAAUCUGCCUUUGAGCGGGGGACAACAUUUGGAAACGAAUGCUAAUACCGCAUAAAAACUUUAAACACAAGUUUUAAGUUUGAAAGAUGCAAUUGCAUCACUCAAAGAUGAUCCCGCGUUGUAUUAGCUAGUUGGUGAGGUAAAGGCUCACCAAGGCGAUGAUACAUAGCCGACCUGAGAGGGUGAUCGGCCACAUUGGGACUGAGACACGGCACAAACUCCUACGGGAGGCAGCAGUAGGGAAUCUUCGGCCAUGGACGAAAGUCUGACCGAGCAACGCCGCGUGAGUGAAGAAGGUUGUCGGAUCGUAAAACUCUGUUGGUAGAGAAGAAAGUUGGUGAGAGUGGAAAGCUCAUCAAGUGACGGUAACUACCCAGAAAGGGACGGCUAACUACGUG
rnacentral:rRNA from 1 species